GAUCUUCAAGAGUAUUCUAAUGCAAAGCUUGAGAAGGUUACUUGUUGAGCAUUGAGAAGCUAUUGUGAAAUGUCCACGGCAUCUUCUCCCCAAGUUUGAUCCUGCUACGGGUUUAUUAACGGGAACAAAAGAUGGUACGCUGGUCAACGUUUACCUGAGGAUUUUUGGUAGGAAAACAGAUGUAGCUAUAACUCGUUUUAGUUAUGUGUAUUGUGUUGUAGUUAUGGUGCAGCUUGAUUAGUUGAUAUAGCUGGUAAACUGAAGAGUAACAAAGUGGUUUGUGAUCCAAUGCUCAAGUUUGAAAUCGAGGAGAUGAAGUUAUCGAAGACUAGAUUAUAAAGAUGUUGGGUUGAUACUUAUUCUCUUGUUUUGAUCAUGACAAUACUCAUGUUGGGUUGAUACUUAUACGGUUGAUACUUAUACU